rnacentral:rRNA from 1 species
GAAGUCUAACAUGUUCGCGAGUCAUUGGGUGAUAAAACCUAAAGGCGGAAUGAAAGUGAAGGAAGCUUUGCUUUCUGAGGGAGGAUGGGGACGACUGCCCAAAGGGCGCUCCCCCGCACUCCCGGGGCGUCUCAUUCUCACUGCGAGAAGAGGCGCACCCAGAGCGUACACGUUAGGACCCGAAAGAUGGUGAACUAUGCCUGGUCAGGACGAAGCCAGGGGAAACCCUGGUGGAGGUCCGUAGCGAUUCUGACGUGCAAAUCGAUCGUCAGAGCUGGGUAUAGGGGCGAAAGACUAAUCGAACCAUCUAGUAGCUGGUUCCUUCCGAAGUUUCCCUCAGGAUAGCUGGUGCCCGUGUGAGACGAGUCUCAUCCGGUAAAGCGAAUGAUUAGAGGCCUUGGGGCCGAAACGACCUCAACCUAUUCUCAAACUUUAAAUAGAUGAGAACUCCGGCUUGCUUGAAAGUGAAGCCGGAGAUUCGGAUCAGGGUGCCCAGUGGGCCAAUUUUG